UACGGGGGGGGCAAGCGUUGUUCGGAAUUACUGGGCGUAAAGGGCUCGUAGGCGGCCAACUAAGUCAGACGUGAAGUCCCUCGGCUUAACCGGGGAACUGCAUCUGAUACUGGAUGGCUUGAGUUCGGGAGAGGGAUGCGGAAUUCCAGGUGUAGCGGUGAAAUGCGUAGAUAUCUGGAGGAACACCGGUGGCGAAGGCGGCAUCCUGGACCGGCACUGACGCUGAGGAGCGAAAGCCAGGGGAGCAAAGCAGG
rnacentral:rRNA from 1 species